AGUCUUACUCUGUCACCCAGGCUGGAGUACAGUGGCAUGAUCUCAGCUCACUACAACCUCCACCUCCCCGGUUCAAGCGAUUCUCCCUGCCUCGGCCUCCCAAGUAGCUGAGAUUACAGGCGUGCGCCACCACGCCCGGCUAAUUUUUGCAUUUUUAAUAGAGAUGGGGGUUUCGCCACAUUGGCCAGGCUGGUCUCGAACUCCUGACCUCAGAUGUGAGCCACUCUCCUCAGCCUCCCAAAGUGUUGGGAUUACAGGCGUGAGCCACCGCGCCCGGCCCGUAUUCACUUUUAAUUAUGUUGGGUUGCGUUCAUUCCCUGUUGGGGAGCUUCAUCGUGGUAAUGAGUGCGAGGCAGAACAAUUUCUAUUUCCAGUCUAUUCUCGCCCCUCCUCUGUUGAGGAUGAAUGUCACAGAUGAACCUUCGCCUCAGAGGGAGAAGGAGGACCUUCUAAGUCCCUGCGGCAGUUGGGGGUGUGAGGAGUGAUCUUAGCUUUUAAGUGGGCUUCAAAGUGUCCUCUGCUAGUUGAACUCUUCGAAACUUCCACAAUUUGUCCCCAGACUUCCAUUAACACAGUUUCUGCUAGUAAACACAACUUAUGUGUAGCUUAAGCCACUGAGGACACCAGAGCCACAGCUCCCCUCCGCCGGCUAUCCCCAAUGGCUGACUCUUUGCAUUUCCCUAAUUCAAACAGUAGACUGCUAAGGCAUCAACCGCUCCCUUGAAAUGCUUCAAAUCGAGGAGGGCCUUGGAAACCACACGGAGUUUCCAUCUAUCAUGAACGCCUGCAGUAAGAGACUUUCUCCACUUUUCUAAGCUACAUUUACAGACCGCCACUCUGGCUGCUUUCGGUGACACAAAUCCUGCCUUCAGCCGCUGGGUCAUCAGAACCUGGAAUGUUCCAGGCUUCCGGGCAGUUCUCAUUCCUGUUUUUUCAGAGGAAAAGAUCCACUUUCAGGGACGGGGUGGUGCCUGUGGCCAGCCUGGACCAGCGCUGAGGGGAGGGACAGAUUCGGGCAAGGCACUGCGCGUCUGUGGCACACACCCUGUCGGCGGACACCGGCCAGUGCAGCGUGGCCUCCACUGCGCGGUGUUAUGACGCCCCGCGGUCCCCACUUCUUCACCAGCCUCUAACAUUCAAACCCCAGUUCUUUUGGACUUUGCAGGAGCUUUUGUGAGGAAUUGUGAACAAUGACUCAUCCAAUCUAGUGUCUACAUUGGUGUCGACAUGGUACCUAGCACCAGGAGACUGGAUGAGAUCACGAAAGACGCAAGAGUAGAUUGAAGAAAGAUUCAAGGGCCCCUGCCAGGAGAGAAACAGUAGAAUGCGAACCUGAACGGUUUAAACCGUUGCAGACUCCGCGCAGGCGCAGGAGCAGGUUAGACGCCUACGGAUGAACGCGAUGGAGCGGGCGGAAGCCGACCGAGAAGACUCAAUUUGUCUAGGCUUGGAGCUGUAGUCGUCGUCUCCCACAUGGUCUAGCGGUUAGGAUUCCUGGUUUUCACCCAGGCGGCCCGGGUUCGACUCCCGGUGUGGGAACGCCGAGGUUUUUUUAGACUGGCGUUUCGUCGAUUUAGAUUCUUCCUAACUCAGAAACGGCAUGUUUUUAGCCAAAACUUUUUCUUUUCAGUAGAGAUGAAGGAAGAAGGAUUGUCUAUUGCCACAAACUGUUUGCCGAAAGAUAGCAUCACCCGCAAUGAUGGCAGAGAAGGGACAAGAUUCCAAGCCAGCUGUGCUGCACCACUUCCUCCCCUCCCCCAGGGCAAGGCGGUUGGUCCCUCUUCUCACCCUGAAACAAAACCUAGAUGCCCUGGGCCUUGCACAGGAAAUGCUAUUUUGGUUAUAGGUGAUAUUUUUUAGUAAACCAAAAGUGUCAACCAUUCACAAAAUGCUCUUCUCUAGCAUUUGAAGACUUUUUAAGCACAUAACCUAGAUCCCGUUGAUUUUUUUCCUCUGGGUAACUUCCCUCUUGUCAGAGUGCACCUUUCCUUAUUCUCUUGCAAAUGAAAAUUGAAGGCGUUUUGUUUGUUUGUUUAUUUAUUUAUUUAUUUAUUUAUUUAUUUUUUAACUUAAAUUCUUGUAAGGUGGAGUUUUGGUCUGCUAUUCCUUAGCUGGGUGUGGAAGGCCCUGGGGAGAUUUAUCAGAAUGAAUUUCUAUAUCGAGAAUUACAAUAAUUUGAGCUCUUAUUUAAGGGGUAGCAGAAACAACUGGUACUUUCACAAGCUGGAAAGAGGCCAAUGUCAGAUAUGACAAAUACAGUAAUAAAAAGGGAAAAUAAAAUUCACUUCCUA